AUUGAACGCUGGCGGAAUGCUUUACACAUGCAAGUCGAACGGCAGCACGGGAGCUUGCUCCUGGUGGCGAGUGGCGAACGGGUGAGUAAUGCGUCGGAACGUACCGAGUAAUGGGGGGAUAACGCAGCGAAAGCUGUGCUAAUACCGCAUACGCCCUGAGGGGGAAAGUGGGGGAUCGCAAGACCUCACGUUAUUCGAGCGGCCGACGUCUGAUUAGCUAGUUGGUGGGUAAAGGCCUACCAAGGCGACGAUCAGUAGCGGGUCUGAGAGGAUGAUCCGCCACACUGGAACUGAGACACGGUCCAGACUCCUACGGGAGGCAGCAGUGGGGAAUUUUGGACAAUGGGGGCAACCCUGAUCCAGCCAUUCCGCGUGAGUGAAGAAGGCCU
rnacentral:rRNA from 1 species